rnacentral:tRNA from 1 species
GUUAUCGUAGCUUAAUAGAAAAAGCAUAACACUGAAGAUGUUAAGACUGAGCUAUAGUAUGCUCCGAGAACA